AUUCUAGAGCAGAAUCCCUGGGGCAGCCCCUGCUGAAGAAGGGUGCAUCUGUUGAGAAUCUCAUCACCGCCCCCACCCCGCCCAGCCUUCAAUUUAGAGGAAUUUCUAGUUCACGCAGAAUGAAGACAAGAUCACAUAAGUGAGGACGACGCCCCAUUUACAAGUGUGAUUUGGAAGACUGAAGUGGAAACCUUGGGAAGGGGCCUCAGAGUAUGUCAGCUGGGGUCAGACGGGAACAGGAGUCUGGCUCAACACACAUUUAUUGCACUCCUGUUUCAUGCCAAGAAAUGUACCAAAAUCUGGGACUGUGUAACACAGCAAAGGAAAAGACUCAUCUCCAGGAAGCCCCCUUGUCUAGGAAGAGAAAUUGAAUAUCAGCAUAAGGUGGUGAAAAGCUGUGAAGGAGAUGAGUGCCAGGAGUCCAUGGAGGAAGGAUUCUAGCCUGGACAGAGUCUCCAUGAAUUGCAAGGGAAAACAAGUGGUACACUGGUAUUUCUAUUUGAUAACCUGUUCUCUUUGGAAUUCCGGUUAGAAAUCAAAGGCUUACUUGAGUUUUAAUGCUUUCGGGACUUCAAAUGCUUUUCUAUCUUCCUAAUAAUAUAUUAACAUUUUCUGAAGACAACAUAUAUGUGGAAAACAACAUUAUUUACUCAAAUAAUUUUUUUUGAAAAAUGGACCAAAAAAAAAGAAAAACCAACAAAAA
rnacentral:lncRNA from 10 species